ACUCUAAUAGUUUAUAAAAAAACAUUGGUCUUGUAAACCGAAAACUGAAGAGACAAUUCUUCUUAGAGUU
rnacentral:tRNA from 1 species